rnacentral:rRNA from 1 species
UACGUAGGGUGCAAGCGUUGUCCGGAAUUAUUGGGCGUAAAGAGCUCGUAGGCGGUUUGUUGCGUCGGCUGUGAAAUCCCGAGGCUCAACCUCGGGUCUGCAGUCGAUACGAGCAAACUAGAGUGUUGCAGGGGAGACUGGAAUUCCUGGUGUAGCGGUGAAAUGCGCAGAGUAUCAGGAGGAACACCGGUGGGCGAAGGCGGGACGUCUGGGACGGUACUGACGCUGGAGAACGGCGAAAGCGUGGGGAGCAAAGCAGGAU